UCAAUUUUUAGUUCACGAUAUAUUACAAAUAAUGUGUUAGAUUUCUAGGGUUUUUAAUCGUUAUAGUCUUGUUUAUAAUCAGAUGUAUUCAAUUUGAGAUUCAUUUUUUAGAUUCAAUGACCGUUGUCUGUGAAGAACUGCUUUUUUUUUUUUUUUGCUCAAUUUAAUCAAUUUGAUUUGAUUUAUUGAUGAUAAUGUGUUUAUAAUUUAGGGUUUUG
rnacentral:lncRNA from 1 species